GACUGCUCCCAAAAAAACCCAUGCUGGAGAGGUACAAAAAGAAAAAAAGAGGUGAACAGCUCCCAAAAAAACAAACCCUGAUGUAAUCCGCGAGCUCUGCCAGGUGAUGCACUCCUCCAAGGUAGGUAGUUGAUGCACUCCUCAAAGGCUG